ensembl:lncRNA DPY19L2P2 DPY19L2 pseudogene 2
GCCACCUGUGUGAUGUGGACACCACCUCUCCGUGAAAGUUUUUCCUAUCCUUUCCUUGUACUUCAGAUGUAUGUUUUAACUUUGAUUCUCAGGACCUCAAGCAAUGAUAGAAGGCCCUUCAUUGCACUCUGUCUUUCCAAUGUUGCUUUUAUGCUUCCCUGGCAAUUUGCUCAGUUUAUACUUUUUACACAGAUAGCAUCAUUAUUUCCCAUGUAUGUUGUGGGAUACAUUGAACCAAGCAAAUUUCAGAAGAUCAUUUAUAUGAACAUGAUUUCAGUUACCCUUAGUUUCAUUUUGAUGUUUGGAAAUUCAAUGUACUUAUCUUCUUAUUAUUCUUCAUCUUUGUUAAUGACAUGGUUUAGUAAUCCUGGCUCACUUUGGGAAUUUCUUCACCAACUAAAUGAUAAAAAAUUGGAAUCUAAGUCUAAAUAAUACGCAAGUCGAAGAAUUCAGUUUCUCAUGAGCGCACUGUUUUCACCCCAAACUUGGGAAUAAACAAAUAACCUAUCAACUUGUAGAGAUGGCAAUAAUUCUAAAGAGAAAUGAAAUUCAAAAACUGGGAGUAUCUAAACUCAACUGCUGGCUAAUUCAAGGUAGUGCCUGGUGGUGUGGAACAAUCAUUUUGAAAUUUCUGACAUCUAAAAUCUUAGGCGUUUCAGACCAUAUUUGCCUGAGUGAUCUUAUAGCAGCCGGAAUCUUAAGGUAUACAGAUUUUGAUACUUUAAAAUACACCUGUUCUCCCGAAUUUGACUUCAUGGAAAAAGCGACUCUGCUGAUAUACACAAAGACAUUAUUGCUUCCAGUUGUUAUGGUGAUUACAUGUUUUAUCUUUAAAAAGACUGUUGGUGAUAUUUCGCGUGUUUUAGCUACAAACGUUUAUCUAAGAAAACAGCUCCUUGAACACAGUGAGCUGGCUUUUCACACAUUGCAGUUGUUAGCAUUUACUGCCCUUGCCAUUUUAAUUUUGAGGCUAAAGCUGUUUUUGACACAGCACAUGUGUGUUAUGGCUUCCUUGAUAUGCUCUUGACGGCUCUUUGGCUGGCUUUUUCGCAGAGUUCGCAGAGAGAAUGUUAUCUUUGGCAUUCUAACAGUGAUGUCAAUACAAGGUUAUGCAAACCUCUGUAAUCAAUGGAGCAUAACAGGAGAAUUUAAUGAUUUGCCUCAGGAAGAACUUUUACAGUGGAUCAAAUACAAUACCGUACCAGAUGCUGUCUUUGCAGGUGCCAUGCCUACAAUGGCAAGUGUCAAGCUGUCUACACUUCAUCCCAUUGUGAAUCAUCCACAUUACGAAGAUGCAGACUUGAGGGCUUGGACAAAAAUAGUUUAUUCUACAUAUAGUGGAAAAUCUGCCAAAGAAGUAAGAGAUAAAUUGUUGGAGUUACAUGUGAAUUAUUAUGUUUUAGAAGAGGCAUGGUGUGUUGUGAGAACUAAGCCUGGUUGCAGCAUGCUUGAAAUCUGGGAUGUGGAAGACCCUUCCAAUGCAGCUAACCCUCCCUUAUGUAGCGUCCUCCUUGAGCCGAGAUUGUGCCACUGCACUCCAGCCUGGGCGACAAAUCAAGACCCCGUCUCCAAAAAAAAAAAAAACAAAACUUGAUUGGGAUCCAAAAUCAUACAACUAUACACUAAAAUCAGUGAAUAUUACCUUAUGUAAAUUAAAAAUUAGGAAAUCAAAAGAAAAGCAUACAUAUAAAAAACAGUUUUUUCUAAGCA